rnacentral:snRNA from 1 species
ACACUUCUCUAGCAGGGGAAAUGCUAUGAUCAGCAGGAAGAUUUUCCAUGUGUGAGGUUCAGCCCUUGCAGUCAGGGUUUAUUGACUCCUAUGAUUUACCCCAAGUGUGAAAAAUGUGACUCCAGGAUUUGUGGAAGUACUC